rnacentral:rRNA from 1 species
ACACGACUCUCGGCAACGGAUAUCUCGGCUCUCGCAUCGAUGAAGAACGUAGCGAAAUGCGAUACCUGGUGUGAAUUGCAGAAUCCCGCGAACCAUCGAGUCUUUGAACGCAAGUUGCGCCCGAGGCCACCCGGCCGAGGGCACACCUGCCUGGGCGUCACAC